rnacentral:rRNA from 1 species
AAACCAGCACCUCAAGUGGUCAGGAUGAUUAUUGGGCCUAAAGCAUCCGUAGCCUGAUCUGUAAGUUUUCGGUUAAAUCUGUACGCUCAACGUACAGGCUGCCGGGAAUACUGCAGAGCUAGGGAGUGGGAGAGGUAGACGGUACUCGGGAGGAAGUGGUAAAAUGCCUUGAUCUCUCGAUGACCACCUGUGGCGAAGGCGGUCUACCAGAACACAUCCGACGGUGAGGGAUGAAAGCUGGGGAGCAAACCGGAUUAGAAACCCGAGUAGUCC